GUCUUCUCCUUCUCCUUCUCCACCACAUUGGUGGCCUCACACUCAAAAAGCCGUCUAAUCAACUCCUUCCCCACCCCCACUUCUCUACACGCAAAAUUCUAGGGUUUCUCAGAUCGAACUAAAAAACCCUAGUUUCUUUCUGUCUAUGCUCGAACUUGAGGCCUCUUCUCUGUCACUCCGCCGAAGCGUCGAAGGCUCGAGGCCUUCUCUCUCUCGGAGGCUCUUCUUUGCUCAACUAGGACGGGGGGAUGUGGAGCAUGGAUAAUAUUUGUUACUCUUGGAUGGAGGUGGAUAAAGGUUUACAACAAUGUGGCAACAGCUUGUAGAUGGCCGGGGGAUUUGUUAAUUGGCAGGGCAGCUACAGGGUAUUCGCACGUUUGACGUGCAUAGGAUGUGGUGCAGGCCUCUACAUGCUUACAAGUUCAAAAGAAAAGGCAUGAAUGCAUUCAAGGCUUUUAAAGCAUGUGUUCCAAUUGCUUGGAGCCCUAACCUCUAUAUAACCUUAGUGAGGGGCAUUCCAGGAACCAGAAGACUUCAUCGGCGCACUUUAGAGGCACUGCGCCUUCGCAAGUGCAAUCGAACUGUGAUGCGAUGGAAUACACCUACCGUCAGGGGAAUGCUACAACAGGUAAAGAGAUUAGUUGUGAUUGAGACAGAAGAGAUGUUCAAGGCCCGUAAGCAAAAGGAGUUGAACCAUCAAGCUUUACGCCCCCCUUUGGUUAUAAAUCAUGUUGUGGCCUCGACAAAUGAUUCUUCUUAGCUGCCUAUUUGUUUCCUCAAGUCUUCCUUUUGUAGGCAUGCAUAUGCAGCACAUUCGAUGGUCAACUGAUAUACAAGCUCAUGUUAUGUCAUUUUCAAAGUUCCUCUUAUUAGUUAAAUUGCUUAUGACAAUUACUGCGGCCAAGAUAUAUGAUCAAGUUCCUCACAUUCACUUUUUAUGGUCGGUGCAUUUUCCAUUCCUUUGUGGUGGAGCGUUUUACCUUUCCAUAUCUUUGCAAUACUCCUAGAUGGGCGAUAAUGCAUUGGAAAGCAGGUAUAAGCAUUUGAAAAAUGCUGAUUGACAGGUCAUAACCCAAAAAUAAUUUUCACCCCACAAAUUGUAGAAAUCUUGCCACAUAAUGCAAUCCUGCCUAUUGUUCUAGUGAUAGUUUAAAAUUAGUUUGCUGUUUUUUAUGAGUAUUUCUGAGCCAUUGCAUCUCAAUUAGUGACUGAGAAGUUAUUUUAGGUAUUCGAGGACAUGUUAAAUUGAGAUUAGAUUUCUUUUUAAUUUAUUUUUAUUUAUUUAAAUAUAUAAAUAUAUUAACUAGGCAUUUGGUGUUGGGAAUCACUUGCCUCGAAUCCUAUUCUUGGGAAUAGGAUGCCAUUCCUUUGGAGUCCAUAUAAAAUAGAUGGGAAUGUUUUGUAGGCAUAAUGAAUUCCAUGAAAUCAAAGUGUUUUAAAGUAUUUUCAACUCACAUUUUCAGGAAUUCUCAAUGAUUCCUUGAACAGAAUGACUAGGAAAGGAAGAAAAAAUUACAAAAAGAGGAGAAUAAAGAAAAUACAAAAACAUUCUUGCUAUAUAUACAUGUAAUCCCAUCAAUACAACCAAUGGAUGUAUUCUCAGUCGUCUUUCCUCCCUUCUUUUCAGGAUUUAGGGUAUCUCUGGUCAUUAAUGGGUAUGUAAUUGGUAGAGCGAGGUGACAUUUUAUUGUACUUCAACGCAGUUGGUCUUAUUCAUUGUUACCUAAUGUUUAGGAUGCUAAUUUUGGGCUUUUAUUAUAUAUGCAUAUGUGAUCAAAGAAACCAUUGUUUUUGGAAGAGCAUCUUUCAAGCAUUUCUGCUAGGAUUCUGCAUAUAGAUAAUGUAGUAACCCGAAGAAUAAUAUUAUUUAAAUAAUUAAGAGGGAGAGAAAUGGAAGCAGUAAUAGAAGGAGGCAGCAGACUUCGUCGAUGAACGCUUUGUGUUCGUUGACGACAUUGCAUUUUGGAUAUAAUAACCCCAAAAAUUUUCCAAGCACUCGUCAACGAACACAGGGAUUUCGUCUACGAGGGUUCUUCAAGACCUCGUCAACAAAGACCCGUCUCUUCGACGAGAAGAUACCGAGAAAGGAUUAUUGGGAUGUCUGAAAAAAUCGUCGACGAGGGGGCAGGUUCGUUGACGAACUUUUUAUAGGACUUGUCGACGAGGUGACGUGACUCGUCGACGAAUCCCGCAGUAUAAAUGGUCCUAAACUCAGUUAAUCGCAAAAAAAACGAUGGCAGACCUUCUCCUCUUUCUCUCCUACGGUCUCCCUUCCAUUUCUCUUCUAUUUCGGCCCCGUCAGUUGCUGGAUCGACGAUCUGAGGUCACCACGACGCUCAUGACAGAGUUCUUUUCAAGUUUGCUGGGGCGGAUCGUCGAUGGGAUUGAGUCGAGUUUCUCCCUAGAAUCAGGGUGUGGAAUAGGAAAUCUUGUGGGUGUAGAACCAGUAUACGAUAGGGGCUUUUCGACAGUGUGGUGAGUCAGUUGGACGAGCGGAGCAGGCUCAUAGAUAGAGGAGCUAUUAGUCUGCCCUUUUUGAGGGUGAGUGUUUUUGUGAUUCAAUUUUGUUAGUUUUGGUAGUAGUAUAAGUAAUUCUUAAGAGUACAGUGAAAUAUAUAAUAGUUGUGGAAUAUUUAGACACUCUGGUAUUGUAUAAUUAUAUAUGGUUAUGUUUAUUUGA